rnacentral:rRNA from 1 species
GACGAACGCUGGCGGCGUGCUUAACACAUGCAAGUCGAACGGAAAGGCCCUGCUUUUGUGGGGUGCUGGAGUGGCGAACGGGUGAGUAACACGUGAGUAACCUGCCCUUGACUUUGGGAUAACUUCAGGAAACUGGGGCUAAUACCGGAUAGGAGCUCCUGCUGCAUGGUGGGGGUUGGAAAGUUUCGGCGGUUGGGGAUGGACUCGCGGCUUAUCAGCUUGUUGGUGGGGUAGUGGCUUACCAAGGCUUUGACGGGUAGCCGGCCUGAGAGGGUGACCGGCCACAUUGGGACUGAGAUACGGGCCAGACUCCUACGGGAGGCAGCAGUGGGGAAUAUUGCACAAUGGGCGGAAGCCUGAUGCAGCAACGCCGCGUGCGGGAUGACGGCCUUCGGGUUGUAAACCGCUUUCGCCUGUGACGAAGCGUGAGUGACGGUAAUGGGUAAAGAAGCACCGGCUAACUACGUG